rnacentral:rRNA from 1 species
UUGGAGGGCAAGUCUGGUGCCAGCAGCCGCGGUAAUUCCAGCUCCAAUAGCGUAUAUUAAAGUUGUUGCAGUUAAAAAGCUCGUAGUUGAAUUUCGGGAUCAGAGUGUCGGUCGUGCCUCGGUACGCACUGGUAUUAUUGGUUCCUACCUUCUGAAGAGCCGCGAUGUCAUUAAUUUGGUGUCGUGGGGAAUCAGGACUGUUACUUUGAAAAAAUUAGAGUGUUUAAAGCAGGCUUACGCUUGAAUACAUUAGCAUGGAAUAAUGAAAUAGGACGUUUGAUUCUAUUUUGUUGGUUUCUAGGAUUGACGUAAUGAUUAAUAGGGAUAGUUGGGGGCAUUAGUAUUCAAUUGUCAGAGGUGAAAUUCUUGGAUUUAUUGAAGACUAACUACUGCGAAAGCAUUUGCCAAGGAUGUUUUCAUUAAUCAAGAACGAAAGUUAGGGGAUCGAAGACGAUCAGAUACCGUCGUAGUCUUAACCAUAAACUAUGCCGACUAGGGAUCGGAUGAUGUUAAUUUUUUAAUGACUCAUUCGGCGCCUUACGGGAAACCAAAGUGUUUGGGUUC